rnacentral:sRNA from 1 species
AGAGACCAAUAGCAGUGGCUGUGCUCUCUAUUCAAACUCAACAAAUAGAAUAACUGACUGUGUGUGUGUGCGCGUCUGCUCUAUAUAUACAAUACAAAUCAAAUAUACAUACAUUCACAUUAGUGUUACAUAUACACGUGAGCCAAAACGAACAGAGACUGUAAUCGUGUAACCGUAACCAAUAACGUCACUCCAACUGUAACGGUCAACCAACAGCAUUCGCGCGACUCUCUUUGCACGACGAAGAAAAAGUAAACGGCAAAUAAAGAAGCGCGUUCUAACGACUCGAUCGUUACGUUGUAAACGCCAUCUAGCGUCAUUUCGCGAACAUUCGGCGUGCGUUGUCCUUGUUUAGUUUCGGCCGUAGUGCAAAAGUGAUUUCUCUGCCUCCUUAUCGCGCUCUCUCUCUACCACGAGCAUUCGUCUACGUGUCUCGCAGCACACAUCGCGAUCUGCAUCUUGAGAAUUCGGAUAAGAAUUAUUAAAGCACGACUUAUCGCUCAAUCCAGCAGCAAUAAAUAGGGCAAACAUUUAGAACAGAGGACGCAGUGAGAGAAAAAAAAGGCGCAUUCACGAAAUACAUCGUCCGUCAGAGCCAGUGAAA